AAGUCGUAACAAGGUUUCCGUAGGUGAACCUGCGGAAGGAUCAUUAUGAAUUGUUGUUUUGGCUCUUAACACGGAGUCUCAACUCUUUUCUGUGAACUGGAUCUCUCGACCCUUUUUCUUUUUUUUUUUAAAGGAGGAAAAAGGUGAAGGGAUUGCUUUAUUUGUUUUCUGUUGUGAUUGUUUCUUUACAAGUUUUCUUUAAUGAAAGACAACUUUCAGCAAUGGAUCUCUUGGCUCUU
rnacentral:misc_RNA from 1 species